AUUUCGCAAACACACUCAUACACAUGGCCCGUAACUUGAAGAAAGAGAGGCCUAUAUGGGGCCAGAGGGAGAGGGCAAACAUAUAUAUAUCUAUAUAUAUAUAUAUAUGUGAUUAUACGAUUUUUUCUUUCUGCCCACCAAAAGUUGCUGUCGACGGCGACGUUGCGCUGUUGCUGCGGUGCGAGUGGCUUUUUUAGCCGCCAGUUGCCAAUUGCCGCAUUCGCUAUUCGGCUUUGAAGCCGCUCGGGUUGCCAAAAAGAACAGUUAGCCAGGAAUUCUCCGGAGAAUCGACAAAAGAUUCUCCUGGGAAUCGAACUCGUGCCCACGUGUGACCUACGUUGUCUUACCCAGUUUUUCACUUUUUUAAUAACUUUUCCAUGCUAAAUGUGUGUUUUCUCUGUGUGCCAAAAUAAUAACAAACGUUUUGGGUUGCAGAUAAAAUUAGAGAGCUUUGCAAAAAUAAGCUGAACAUUUUCCGGCAGUGUACUCGUGUGCUUGUGUUUGUGCCCCCGAGUGUCCGUGUGAUUGCCAAUGUUUUUUGUGGCCUCUCAGCUUUAAUUUCUUGGGGAAAAUCAGUACGACUUCUGGGCCCCGAAGGCAGACGGCAGCCGUACCCGAACCCGUACUUUCCAUAGCCCCAACCCAGAAAAAGAACUGGAAAACUGAAGAACUGGAGAAACUGUGGAACCACAAAGGCAACAUGUUGCACAUGCACUCGCCAAAAGCAAUUUGCAUACAAAUGUUGCCAACGCACUUCAAAAACUGCACAAUCACAGGGGCUUUAAAAAGGGGGGGGUGGGGGUGGGGGUUUUGCAGCGGAAGAGGGUAAAAGCCGCUUCAUAAUUUGAUAUUAAACAUGCACGCGUGUCUCCCUCUCUUUUUCUCUCAUGUGUGCAACUUGUAAAUUUGCAAAUUGCUAAAAUGCAUGACAGGAACAAAGGGGGAGGGGCGGGCAGUGGGGGGGACUUUCGGGCAGCUGCGUGAAUUUGCAUUUACAUCAAGGAACCGCAGGACAGGAAAAGGACCGCAAAAAGUUACCCAAAUUCAGCCUCAGAACAAAAAACUGAAUAAAAAUGAGAAGUCUGCUCAAUUGACUUUCAAUUGCAAAACAAACACAAUGCACUUGGGGAAAAUUUGAGAGACAAACAUUUAUUUUGUUCAAAAACCUUAUUCUUGCAUGCUAUAAAAUUUAAACAUUUAGUGAACCCAGAGAAAAACCCCAUAGUAAAAUUAAAUGUUAAAAUAUUUGUUUGUCGAAAUAUGAACUUUCUCAAAAUAAACUAAG